UGCAAGUGUCUCCCCAAUGUCAACAAUCUUUCGAUUAAGGAGUAAAAUCAAAGCUUGAGUAAUAUGAACACGUAGUCCAGAAGGCAAAGUCCGAGCCGAAGAACGAAGCAACUGAGCUAACUCUUUAGGGAAAUUAACAAGCUUUUUAGGAAAAAACGGAGUUACAUGUGAUAAAAACAUAGCACGGUCACCUAAGUCCUUAGAAACAGUCGGGUCAGUUGAUACACCGCUAAGGGAAGUGAAAUUUAGUGCUGCUUGUUGUUCAAAGAGAUCCAUGGACGACUUGAAUUGAUUGUAUACUAAUGUUAGUUCAGCUUCGUAUCCUUCUGGAUCGCAUUUCAUCUUUGAUUGUAGAGUUGGUAAGCUUAGUUUUCCCGAUGUUAGACCUGAGGCUGCUAUUCCUUCUGCCGUCAGCUCCGACGGCGCGUGACGGCCGGA
rnacentral:misc_RNA from 1 species